ACCUUUUCCCAAAUUUCUCAGUUCUUUUCUCCAACUAAACAAUGAAGAAUAAGCGGAUAUUUAUAAGGGGAGAUUUAGAGUAGAAAAAGGGGGAACCCGAUUAAAUUUUGAAUUUCAAAUUCGAAUUCUCUUCAAAGGAUUAGGUUGCCAGCUCGAAAAAUUGUACACCUCUCCAACAAACUGAUAAUCCCAGUCAUUCGAUUUCUAAAGAGAGGACAAAGGCGAUGGGAGAUCUCGACACCUGGAUUCCGUGCAAAAGGAUAAGGAGAUGGGAGGGGACGAUGCGCUAGGCUGCUCUACUCACACUCUGGUUUGCGUCUAGAGUUGGACGCGAUUUUGCUAGUUUUGCGUUUGUAGUUCACGCGGAGAAUAAGAUGA
rnacentral:misc_RNA from 1 species